rnacentral:rRNA from 1 species
CCCGCUGAACUUAAGCAUAUCAAUAAGCGGAGGAAAAGAAACUAACAAGGAUUCCCCUAGUAACUGCGAGUGAAGCGGGAAGAGCUCAAAUUUUGAAUCUGGCGGUGUUUGGCCGUCCGAGUUGUAAUCUAGAGAAGCGUCUUCCGCGCUGGACCGUGUACAAGUCUCCUGGAAGGGAGCGUCAUAGAGGGUGAGAAUCCCGUCUUUGACACGGACUACCAGUGCUAUGUGAUGCGCUCUCGACGAGUCGAGUUGUUUGGGAAUGCAGCUCAAAAUGGGUGGUAAAUUCCAUCUAAAGCUAAAUAUAGGCGAGAGACCGAUAGCGAACAAGUACCGUGAGGGAAAGAUGAAAAGCACUUUGGAAAGAGAGUUAAACAGUACGUGAAAUUGCUGAAAGGGAAACGCUUGAAGUCAGUCAUGUCUGCCAGGACUCAGCCUUGCUUCUGCUUGGUGCACUUUCUGGUUUGAUGGGCCAACAUCAAUUUUGACCGUUGGAGAAAGGCUUUGGGAAUGUGGCACCUUUGGGUGUGUUAUAGCCCUUUGUCGUAUACAACGGUUGGGAUUGAGGACUGCAGCACGCCUUUAUGGCCGGGGUUCGCCCACGUACGUGCUCAGGAUGUUGGCAUAAUGGCUUUAAGCGACCCGUCUUGAAACACGG